GCUCAUGGCAACACUGGAUCCCUAACCUGUUGAGCAAGGCCAGGGAUCAAACCUGCAUCCUCAUUGAUACUAGCCAGUCUUAUUACCUCUGAGCCACAACAGGAACUCCCUGAAUAAUUGUUUAGAUUUCGACUUAGUUUAAUUCAAUUCACUACAAUGUGAUUUGUUUUUAAUGACCAAGGCCUUCUGUGUCUAUGUUCAGUGCCCAAGAACUAGAAGAGGCUCCAAUCCCCACUGCUCCUCUUUUCAGAUAAGACCCCUGUUCAACAAUGGCCAUGGUGUGAUGACCUCUGACCUGCCGUUCCCACUUUGCCCUCUGGCACAUUCCAGUAUCCCAGCACUUGGCUUCUUUUUGACACAAAGCCAGAUUAGCUCCUCCACCCAAACUUAAAAAAAAAGUUGUCAUUCCUCUUUUAACAUUGGUCCGUAACUUACUAGUUGAAAGACUAGAUUUUCCCACGCUCCAGCUGUUUAUGCUGUUGCUUCAUGUGGAUAACUUGAAACCAUAUUUUACUUGAUUUAACCCUUUGAAACACCCUCCUCCUCCCCCUCCCACCCCACCUUUUGUCGCCUCCCCCUCCUGAAAAAAUGCCUUCCUCUCAAGGAGCUGUGCAGGAUCGGUAAACACCAACCUCAAGUGAGCUGUCUCAGAGCAGAUGUUUCCAGAAGUCACUCCCAUACCUUACAAACAACCUUUCUCCCCUGUAGUCUUACUCUUUGUGGUGACAGGUCGUAGAUGACCAUCAACCGUGAAACUUCAUUUCUGCUUUUUCUCUUCCCCAACUAUCAAAUGCCUCUUUUUAGUUCUUCACCCUAGAGCUUUUUUUUUUUUUUUUUUUCUGACUUCUAACAGGAAAACAGUUUCCAGCAGAGCUGUUCCUGUCACGUUGAAACUGAUAUUCAUAUCACAUAGGCCAAAGCUUCUCAAACAUUAGUGUGCAUGCAGAUCACACGCAGACUUGGACUCAGUGGGUCUGUGUCGAGCCUUAGCUCCCUGUGAAGUCCACCUUGGCCAUGGAUCAUCCAUAUGAUAGAUGUGGACCCGGGAAAGGAAUUGAGGCUUCUAAAUCUAGCAAAAGUGGGUUCAGUUUAGUCUCAAAAACUGUAACUUGCACCAGUGCUCCUCACUCUUCUGGAAUCAAAUAAUGCAAAGCAGUGUACCGCAGAGCCCGGCAUCUCAGUCCUUUUAGACUUGCUCAUGACCUUCUGAGUGUCUCUCUGGCACAAGGGCCUGUCAUCGAAUUCCCACCCCCUCACACACACAUUUAGCUAUGUGUUAUCCCAUGGAAUAUCCCGGGUAUCCAUCGUUUUAUCCAGAUGGUCACAUUUGACUAGAGCCUUUCUUAUGAGUGUGCCGAUGUUACCUGUGUAGGAAGCACUUUAGCUCCUUCAGGUUACAUGUUAAUCUUAAUAUCCUCAUAUUAAUCCAUCAGCACAGAUUUUCUUCAUGGUAACAUUUUGAUCUAGAGGAUCUAAUGCUUUUCCCAGUGGGCUCAGAAUAUCCCAUGAGCUGGGUUGAAUCUGCGAUAGAAUCCAACCCACUGUACUCCUUAAAAUAAAAUUUGAAGGUGUUGUGGAAUUAACUUUAUUCAUUUCCCAGAAAGAAAAAAUAGUUUGCAGUCAGAAUCAAGUUUUCAUUAUUUCUUUGGGAAUUUUUCUAAGAACGUCUGCCAAAGAGACCAUAAGCAUACCAUCCACUGUAACCUUUGCCAAUAAAGGGGGGAUUUUUCUUCUGUUAGACGUGUAUUGUUUUACAAAUCUAUUUUACACACAUUUUCAGUCAGUAAAUCAGAUCAUGCAUUUGGGGAGACUGGAAAUAUCUCAGACUCCAAAAUAGAAAUGAGUUAAAGGGAAUUUCUCUUUUUAUACUGCUUCCCAAACUGUGAGAUUUGACUCAGAAUGUCUUUCAUGGGUUCCCUGAGAUAGGACCCUCUCACCCUUAAAUGUGUUCCCUAAAUACUUCCUAACCAGGAAAGAAACUCCAGUCUGUGGUUUUGGGGUCUGUAAGCACCAAUGGUGGAUCAAAAUGAGAAGAGACUUGCCUGCCCCGCCUGCCCAGUGAAUACUGAUUUAUUAGCGGGCAGUGAUAGCCACCAAGGAGCUGCAUUAAUGCUGUAGGACAGACCAGGAGCUUCUCUCUUGCCUGGAGUCUCUCAGGACACAUCAGGAGCCAAGAGAGAAAUGACAAGAUGAAAGAUUGGGAAGGGAUCAUCUAGUCCAGUUCUCUUUUUUUAUGUACCUGCAGCCGGCAUUCCAGAGACAUUAGGCUACUUUGAAAGGAACACAGCAAGUUUGUUGACAGCUUUCAGAUCUCCUGACUUGCAGACAAAACUCUCAGAGUGAAUGGCAAAAUAACAGCCAGCAUGUCCAAGGGCUGUCCUUGAUGUAUGCCCCUUGGAAAAAGAUUAAAGUCAUAAUUAGGGCAGCAUCGUAGUGAAUAGUCCAUCUAUAGUAAUUUAAAUAGCACUCAGGGAAGGCAACCAGGCAAAGGACUACCGAAGCCUCAUCAGAGAAGAGCAAAAAUCUGUACUCUGCUCAGUAAAACAUGCACUUAGGUGGGGGUGAAGGGAAGAGGGUGGAGGUUAUGGGAAGUACAAAAUAGCUGCAAAGAGAUGUGUGGUCAGGUAAGAGGGACCAUCCUGGCCAGCACCCCAUCUUCUUAGGUUUCUUUAGCAUGUUAGUGUCUUGUCGCUCUUUGUCUUGAAAAGAGCAUUAAUGAACCCCAGCCGUUUUCACACUCACUUUUUAAGAAUGGGUGAGAUGAUAAAGGUAAAGUAAUUUGAGCUCCUUUAUUCCCCCCAAAGCUAAGUAAAUGCAGUUUAUUUUGAAAUAAUCUGACUCACUGUGAGGAACUUGUAACACAAAA